CAUGAUACCAAAACCAAAAGGAAAGAAAAAACAGAGAAGAAGAAGAAGAAGGGAUCUCGAAAGAAGCAAGAACAAAACAAAUGGAAGCACAAAACUCGGGGGACCUUCUAAAGAAGGAAGGCGAGAGCGGCUACCUGAGACGGUCAGGGAUCGUUUAGGCAGAGUCUCCGCAGCAAAAUGUGAAAAGUGAGAUUUGGGAAACGAGUGACCCCAUAUAUAUAGGGCCUUUCGACGGUCGAGAUGUGGCCGCACCGAUGAGGACCUCUCAGAUGAUCGACGCAUGGCGGCAUCCGGGCCCUCCUUCGGCCCGACAGUUUGGCACACCCAUCCC
rnacentral:lncRNA from 1 species